GACGAAGGGGGCUAGCGUUGUUCGGAAUUACUGGGCGUAAAGCGAGUGUAGGCGGUUGUCCAAGUUGGAUGUGAAAGCCUUGAGCUUAACUCAAGAAAUGCAUUCAGGACUGGAUGGCUAGAGGACCGGAGAGGAUAGUGGAAUUCCCAGUGUAGUGGUGAAAUACGUAGAGAUUGGGAAGAACACCAGUGGCGAAGGCGGCUAUCUGGACGGUUACUGACGCUAAGACUCGAAAGCGUGGGGAGCGAACAGG
rnacentral:rRNA from 1 species